AUCUAUGGCCAUAACACCCUGCAUGCACCAAUCUUGUCUGGUCUCGGAAACUAAGGCAGGGUCGGGCUAGUUAGUACUUGAAUGGGAGAAAAUAUUGAUUAUACUGUCUAGGAAUAAAUAUAUUAUGGAUU
rnacentral:rRNA from 1 species